UUCCGGUUGAUCCUGCCAGAGGCUACUGCUAUCGGGGUCCGACUAAGCCAUGCGAGUUGAGAGGGGUAAGCCCUCGGCAUAUUGCUCAGUAACACGCGGAUAACCUGCCCUUGGGUUUGGGAUAACCCCGGGAAACUGGGACUAAUACCGGAUAGAUCAAAGAAACUGGAAUGUUCUCUGAUCGAAAGCUCCGGCGCCCAAGGAUGGGUCUGCGGCCUAUCAGGUAGUAGUGGGUGUAACGUACCUACUAGCCUACGACGGGUAAGGGUUGUGAGAGCAAGAGCCCUGAGAUGGAUUCUGAGACAUGAAUCCAGGCCCUACGGGGUGCAGCAGGCGCGAAAACUUUACACUGCGGGAAACCGCGAUAAGGGGACCCCGAGUGCCAGCACCUAGUGCUGGCUGUCCAGCUGUUCAAAUAACAGUUGUUAGCAAGGGCCGGGCAAGACCGGUGCCAGCCGCCGCGGUAACACCGGCGGCCCGAGUGGUAGCCGUUAUUAUUGGGUUUAAAGGGUCCGUAGCCGGCCUAUUAAGUCUCUUGGGAAAUCUGGCGACUCAAUCGUCAGGCGUUCAAGAGAUACUGGUAGGCUUGGGACCGGGAGAGGUGGGAGGUACUCCAAGGGUAGGGGUGAAAUCUCGUAAUCCUUGGGGGACCACCGAUGGCGAAGGCAUCCCACCAGAACGGGUCCGACGGUGAGGGACGAAAGCUGGGGGCACGAACCGGAUUAGAUACCCGGGUAGUCCCAGCCGUAAACGAUGCUCGCUAGGUGUCAGGUGCGGUGCGACCGCAUCUGGUGCCGCAGUGAAAACUUGAAGCGAGUCACCUGGGAAGUACGGUCGCAAGGCUGAAACUUAAAGGAAUUGGCGGGGGAGCACUACAACGGGUGGAGCCUGCGGUUCAAUUGGAUUCAACGCCGGG
rnacentral:rRNA from 1 species